AGUUUGCAAAUGACCAGUGCUAUAUGGAUCCAAUUGUGUGUUCAUGUUUGUGUUGUGUUCUCAUGCCAUUGAAACAGUUUUAAAUAUUUUAUGCAUGACCCCCUGCAACUAUUGGGGGAAUAAAAGUGUACUGUUGUGUUUUUCUUUAUGCACCUGCCAUAGCGGAGGGGCAUUAAGUUUAACACUUGUCCUUCUGUCCGUCCGUCGUACCGUCCAAAAUUGAUUUCUGGUCUCUAACUUAAGUUUGCUUCAACCAAAUGUUAGAAGAUUUAUACACGAUGCUGAUUACCAAAAAAAAAAACAA
rnacentral:lncRNA from 1 species